AUCCUGGCUUUUGGGGGAAGCCUGUCCCUCCAAAGGAGCACGAGGUCCCCGGGGCUCGGGGCCGGCGAAGUUAGAGAAAGGGGCGGAGGGUGUCCCCCAGAUCACCCGUUACCUGAGUUCGCAGGCGACUCCCCGCAAAAUCAGGUCCGCAGCCGCACGAGGCCCCUUAGCCCGCUGCCCCUUCCUCCCGCCCCUCCCCCCGGCACACUUUGAUCGACCCCCAGGAGGUGGAUCAGGAAGGACUGGAGAUCGCGUAGACACGCCCCGGACAGGUCCGAGGAACGCCCGGGAGCCCUUGUCAUGUAAAUACGAGUCCCAGACGUGUGUAAAGUCCCAGCCCGUGGAGCCCCGGGCGAGUCCACACCCAUUGUCUGCGGCCCCGAGGGCCACCAGCUGCGGGGGGUUGGGGGGUGCUCGGCUCCCAAGUACAAAAGAGGCGCGAGGAAGUGCGGAGGCGAACUUUUAUUUCAUUAAGUUUUAAUUACACUGGUGCUACAGGAACACAUUCUCCUGAUUUAAUAAGGUUCCGAAGUAUUAUGUAAGUGGCCCCCUCCCUGGCACAUCUCCACCUCUUUGCAAUUUGGUGUGUCCCCUCCUAGGCCCUUCCCUAAAUAUUUAUUUUACAUGCACUUAUGGAGGGCUCCCCUGCCCCCCAAAACUUACCGAAUAGUAGUAACUCAACCCAACACCUACUCCGAGAGGCAAGAAGAUUAUCAUCCCCAUUUUACAGACCCUGAAACUGGCCUGAGGGUCGCUCGCUUAAUGUUAAGGUCACACGCAGGUCCUGGGGCAUCUGCUCCCACACGUAUGUGUCUAGUUCUUGAAAUGUGCAUAUGUCCCUGGAGUUUUAGCAAUGAGCACAGACUAUUUUUGUAUGGAGCGGGGAAAAGGGGUCUAAAAGUUACUAUUUCCUUUUCAUAGACUGGAACCAGACCAGAGAACUCAGAAAGCCAGCCCAGGAAGUGCGUGAGUUCUCUCCCUGCACCGGGUACGUUGACGAUGACGCCUGCUUCGCCUUCUUAGGAAGGCAGGCAGGAAGGCAGGCAGGAAGCCGUUAUUCUGGAGGAGUCGAGCUCAGCAGUGAUUGGCUGGUAGGAGCUUUAUGGGAAGCCCGCAAGUGCCCAGCACAGAGGGAGGUUCAAACGCACCGACCAUCAUUCGUUUGGGAGGAGAAGCUUACUCUUGGAGCUGUGGGCGGGGCCUCGCUCUAGGCCCAAGCCCAGGGACCAAGGUGGGGAGAGCCCUCAGGGUCUGCGUGGGGGGUACCCCUCCUGUGGAUUGCACACUCUCAGCCCCCACCCCGAGGAGAGUUCAGUUUCUCCAGCAGGCCACCCUCGUGCGGGAAGGUCCUCCUGCAAUUUGGCCUCUGUGGCUUGGAGGAAAAGCUGGAGGGAUGCUCCUGAGUGUUCUGCCUUCCUUGGGGACCCUGAGCAUGUCUGCUGGGCCUGGGGAUGACCAUGAGUCCCACUCAUAUUCUAGGUGGAAGGAGACCACCGUCACUGCUACCCAUUGCAGCCAUUCCUUCAUUCAUUCAAUCAACAAACUUUCACUGAGUUCCAGGCCUGAGUGCUGGGAAUUCAGCUAUGCUGGACACAACCUCUGCCCUCCUCUAAGUCUACUGGCCGCCUGGCAGCAAAAAAAACACACGUCGAUUGUCUUGGGAAUGAAGUAGCGUUUAUACAGUCCAGGUUAAGCCACCAGCAGGCAAAAAUAACCAGUUAAUUCAGUGGGUUAAAAAAAAAAACCUACCCACGUUGACCUCUAGUUGAUCUGUCUGUCUGGGACAAUGGCACUGGCCACUGUUCUGAUGGCGGCACCUGGGACUGGUUAGUGGUCUUUGCUUUGGUUCCAAAGUUGAUUCAGCCUGGAGGCCUAAUGCAGAGUGUCAUGCGGGGUACCAGGUGUGGCGGUCACAACUGGAUUGCCAAAGAUAGGUGCUGGGCACCACCUUACGUGGUGCUGGGGAUUUGGUGAUGACAGGCACAGAGCCCCCUCUCAGCCGGGCACAUGAGGAGGUGUUCAUGGGCUGGAGUGGGAAGCUCACUCUGCUGGGGAUGGGGAUGUUGGGGGGGGGCACCUCUGCUGGGCCAUGAGAGAGAGGCCUAAAAAAAAGGAAAGAGGUUUCCUUCAUUCGGUCGUAAAUAUUAUGCUCCCUAUUCAGGUCAGGCUCUGCAUCAGGCAUUCCAUCCUCAUGUGACGUCCUAGGGGUCAGGAGAGUCUAUAGGCCCCAUGCAAACCCGCAGCUACACUAGGUCACUUCAGGUAUGGUAAUGAUGAGCUAGAGGCCCUGGGUGGUAAUCUGGGAAGCCCACCCUGAGGAGGAGGUAUUUUAUUCAUUCUCUUGUUUACUGAGUGUCUACUUAGGGCCGGCUACAAAUCCUUGCCCUCCUGGGGCUCAUAUUCUUACAAGUGGGACAGACAAGAAGUGCGUAAACAGGUAAGUCCAGGUGAUGGCUUCAGAGAGGGACAAGAGCUGGAAAGAAUACAAAGAGACGUGGCCUGGAGGCAGCUGAGCUCAUGGGGUCAGGGCGGCCUCUCUGGGGAGGUGAGAAGGCUGGGAUGGAGUCUUGCGGGGAGGAGGGCACAGGUGCCCAGGCCAAGGUCCUUGGUGGAAGAGGAACUAAGGGACUGUCUUGGUCCCAGGAAGUCUGGGAUUUGGGACACAUUUCUCAAGGCGAUUAUAGGUCAUGGGAUUAGGAAAAGUGUGUGUGUCCCCAGGCUGCUGGGGACACGCCUUUUCCAGGCCUCCAGACAGCACGUGCACUGUCGUCUGCCCUGACUGUGGGUUGGAUCUGCCACAGGGAGAUCUUUAGAGAGACAAGGUCUGGUCUAAGCCGGUCGGGAGGCCUUGCUCCCAGAGGCACGCACCUGCUGGGCAGGGCUCCGGGACGUGGCCGGCUCCACGAGGUGUGACUGGUACAGGUACCACGGCCCAGGCUUGGUUUAAUACUCUAUUGUCACCAUCCUGAAAUUCUUCAUCAUUUUGGAACAAGGAGCCUUGCGAAUUCUGCAGUUGGUCCUACUUGGGUGCCAGGUCCUCCUCACUGCCAAUUAAGUCAGGAACCCGGAAGGCCAGCAUGGGUCUUGGCUGAGGCCAGGGCGGCUGGCGGUGUCCUGACUGUGCCUGCUGGACACUGUGGAAAGUACCCGGCUGAGUCAAUAAAGGGCCUUCUUUCGCAGUGAGCAGUGGGGACAAGGCGGAUCCCAGCCUCCUCCGGUCGGUCAUGUCCCCUCACCUCCUGCUGCCCCCAGGCCUGCGGUCAGAGCUGCCUUUUCCGGAGCAGCCAGAACAGUUAGUUUCACAAUCUCUCCUCCCGACUCACCACCUUUGGAAACUCUUGCCGGCUGAGUCAUUUUUUUUCCAAGUCCUGCCUGUAGUUUAAUCUGCCUGUCAAUGUUCCCAGGUUUACAUCAUUGGACUUCGUAUUUAUAUAUAUUUUUUAUCUUGUUUUGCUUUUAAAUACUAACACAAGCUAAUGUUACCUGGACACUGCCUGGGUGCCAGGCCCUGUCGUAGUCACUGCAUAUUCGUCUGCUUCAUCAUUCGACAGAUAUGCAUCUAGAUCCUACGGCCAGCCAGGGUGCGCUCAGUGGAUCCCCACGACUGCCCUGUGAGGCCCCAGCUAAUAUUAUUCCCAUUCGGCAGAUGAAGACGCUGAGGCUCAGGGACCCAUGAACGAGGUCCGAGGAAGCCAGAUACCUGGGCUAGCACCUACCAAGAAUAAGUACUUGUCUGGUACCAGAGCAGAGCCAGAAGUCUUAACCGUAAAGAUGCGAGGGCUGAGCCCAAGAGGGAUUAGGAAAAUUCCAGAUGUUCAACUCAUGUCUGCAACACUUCCAGAAGGGACGGUUCGUCAUCGAAGCUGAUUUCACAGACCAGAAAUACCCAAGCAGAAAUGUCCUGUGUCUGUCCCCAUGAGGGAUUCAUGCCACUGUCGUCAAGAGUGAUUAAUAAUGUCAGGCUGAGAUUCUCAGUGGCAGGGCCCGGCUGGGUCCUGGCACUCUGCCGCUGGGUUUGAGGGGGUGCUGGCGAAGAAGGGGCUGGGAGGGAGGGCAGAGGCCAGGCUAGUCACCGAGGGUACAGGGAGGGCUGCGUCCGCCUGACUCUGGGUUAGGUCUGUGACAGGCAUCUCACCUGGUGCAAAUGGACUGGUCCCUACUGCAAGCCAGGCACUGCACCAGGCCCAGGGGUACACGGUGACCAUGGCGAGCCAGGUUCUGCCUUCACAGCGUUUACCCUCUGGGGGCUCACUCAUCAUUAAUCCAUCCCCCAAACAUUGAACACUGCAUGCCCAAAACUGAAAUCAUGCAAGUGUGUGCCACUGCUUCUAACUAUGUGACUUUGUUUGAGAGAGUUAAUUAAUGACUCAGUUUCCUCUUUAAAACGGCCCUGUUUCCUCUUUAAAAUGGAAGUUACGAAGCUGCUUACUCAGAGGGCUACUGGGGGCAGUGAAUGCCUGGAUGUUCCUUAGCAUCUGGCCUGGCUAGAACAAGCUCUUGGAAAGCUGGUUAUUGUUUCUGCUCUGUGCUCCUGGAGGUCCCACUCCGCAACAAAGUACAAAGGAACCCGAGGAUCCCUUUCUUCCCUCUGGAGACGUUACCCCAGAUUGCAAUUGUUCAUGAAUUUGUGAAUCAAUUGGUUGGGUGUCCCUCACUCCAGCUGGACCGGGCCCUGCAUGUCCUCAGUGUCUGAUCCCAGGAAAAGAUGCUCAGAUGUCUCCGGGGCCUCCAGAACGCCAGGCUGACACUGUUGGAAUCCAGAGUAGUGGGGUACCAUCAUGCCCCGACAGUCCCCACAAUGGAGCGGCACCCAGAAAACACCCUUGCCCUCCAGGCACAGUCCCCGCCAGAGCUGGACAUCUAGUCCGCUCCCCUCUGCGCAGGGAGCCCUGUUCUCACGUGGGGCUUGGGAACGGGUGCCGGGCAGCCGGCUUCAAAUAUGAUGAGAUGACACUGCGUUUUUGAAAGGGGCACGGGCCACCUCGUCUCGCUCUUUGCUACACCCACAGCUCCUCGCAUCAGCUGGCAUAAGGAAGUGCUCAGUACAUAUCUGCUGAAUGAACUCAAGGCCAUUUUUCACUGUCUAGUAGGCCCUUAAAGUAUGAGCGUCCUCACCCUCUAGUUCCAUUCCUACAACAUACCUUAAGGAAAUAGUCAGAGAACUGACUUUUAAGGACAAGGAUAUCGAUCCUAUCCUCAUUUUUUAAAAGCAAAAAGGCGACAGAAGUAGAAAAAAGGGGGGAUUGGUUAAGCGAAGGUCAAAGAUAAUCCAGCUGUUAAAAACAGUGUUUUCGAAGACGAGCGGGUGGUGGAAAGAAAAGUCCUCUGUAGAGAAAAUUUUUAAAUAGUCUGUAGAAUUGAUCCCAAUUUUGUACAAAUAAAAUUAUACUGCUAGAAAGAAAGACUGAAAUGAUAUAUGCCAAUAUGUUAACAGUGGUUAGUUUUGU